rnacentral:rRNA from 1 species
UAGGGAAUCUUCGGCAAUGGACGAAAGUCUGACCGAGCAACGCCGCGUGAGUGAAGAAGGUUUUCGGAUCGUAAAACUCUGUUGUUAGAGAAGAACAAGGACGUUAGUAACUGAACGUCCCCUGACGGUAUCUAACCAGAAAGCCACGGCUAACUACGUGCCAGCAGCCGCGGUAAUACGUAGGUGGCAAGCGUUGUCCGGAUUUAUUGGGCGUAAAGCGAGCGCAGGCGGUUUCUUAAGUCUGAUGUGAAAGCCCCCGGCUCAACCGGGGAGGGUCAUUCGGAACUGGGCGACCUGAGUGCAGAAGAGGAGAGUGGAAUUCCAUGUGUUGCGGUGAAAUGCGUAGAUAUAUGGAGGAACACCAGUGGCCAAGGCGGCUCUCUGGUCUGUAACUGACGCUGAGGCUCGAAAGCGUGGGGAGCAAACAGG